GACGCACGCUGGCGGCGUGCCUAAUACAUGCAAGUCGAACGCAGUGGGGACGGGUGAGUAACACGUGGGUAACCUCCCAUCAGAGGGGAUAACACUUGGAAACAGGUGCUAAACCGAUAAUGCUGGAUGGACACGCGGUGCAUUAGCUAGUGGGUUAGGUAACGGCUCACCAAGGCAACGAUGCAUAGCCGACCGGAGAGGGUGAUCUGCCACACGGGGACUGAGACACGGCCCAGACGCCUACGGGAGGCAGCAGUAGGGAAUCUUCGGCAAUGGACGAAAGCCUGACCGAGCAACGCCGCGUGAGUGAAGAAGGUUUGCGGAUCGUAAAACUCUGUUGUUAGAGAAGCGGUAUCUAACCAGAAAGCCACGGCUAACUACGGGCCAGCAGACGCGGUAAUUC
rnacentral:rRNA from 1 species